rnacentral:rRNA from 1 species
UACGGGGGGGGCAAGCGUUGUUCGGAAUUACUGGGCGUAAAGGGCUCGUAGGCGGCCAACUAAGUCGGAUGUGAAAUCCCCAGGCUUAACCUGGGAACUGCAUCCGAUACUGGAUGGCUUGAAUCCGGGAGAGGGAUGCAGAAUUCCAGGUGUAGCGGUGAAAUGCGUAGAUAUCUGGAGGAAUACCGGUGGCGAAGGCGGCACGCUGGACCCCCACUGACGCUGAGGCGCGAAAGCCAGGGGAGCGAACGGG